rnacentral:lncRNA from 1 species
UCAUGACCAUCCCUUUUAAUUAAAAGCUAUUGCUUCACUGUAAUGCAUGUAUCUACUUACUCUCUCCUGUAUUAUCCCCAGCACACAUUCACACUUGAAGUCAAUUAUACAUGGCAACCACACCCACCUCCCUAUUUUAUACACACUCACAAAUAUUAUCUCUUAACCAUCAACUAAUAUGGCCACCACCUAACAAUCCAACUUAAUUGUAUGUCUUGAUCUCUUAUAAU